AAGAGUAGGGCGGGACACGUGGUAUCCUGUCUGAAUAUGGGGGGACCAUCCUCCAAGGCUAAAUACUCCUGACUGACCGAUAGUGAACCAGUACCGUGAGGGAAAGGCGAAAAGAACCCCGGCGAGGGGAGUGAAAAAGAACCUGAAACCGUGUACGUACAAGCAGUGGGAGCACCUUCGUGGUGUGACUGCGUACCUUUUGUAUAAUGGGUCAGCGACUUAUAUUCUGUAGCAAGGUUAACCGUAUAGGGGAGCCGAAGGGAAACCGAGUCUUAACUGGGCGUUAAGUUGCAGGGUAUAGACCCGAAACCCGGUGAUCUAGCCAUGGGCAGGUUGAAGGUUGGGUAACACUAACUGGAGGACCGAACCGACUAAUGUUGAAAAAUUAGCGGAUGACUUGUGGCUGGGGGUGAAAGGCCAAUCAAACCGGGAGAUAGCUGGUUCUCCCCGAAAGCUAUUUAGGUAGCGCCUCGUGAACUCAUCUUCGGGGGUAGAGCACUGUUUCGGCUAGGGGGCCAUCCCGGCUUACCAACCCGAUGCAAACUACGAAUACCGAAGAAUGUUAUCACGGGAGACACACGGCGGGUGCUAACGUCCGUCGUGAAGAGGGAAACAACCCAGACCGCCAGCUAAGGUCCCAAAGUCAUGGUUAAGUGGGAAACGAUGUGGGAAGGCACAGACAGCCAGGAUGUUGGCUUAGAAGCAGCCAUCAUUUAAAGAAAGCGUAAUAGCUCACUGGUCGAGUCGGCCUGCGCGGAAGAUGUAACGGGGCUAAACCAUGCACCGAAGCUGCGGCAGCGACGCUUAUGCGUUGUUGGGUAGGGGAGCGUUCUGUAAGCCGUUGAAGGUGUCCUGUGAGGGGUGCUGGAGGUAUCAGAAGUGCGAAUGCUGACAUAAGUAACGAUAAAGCGGGUGAAAAGCCCGCUCGCCGGAAGACCAAGGGUUCCUGUCCAACGUUAAUCGGGGCAGGGUGAGUCGACCCCUAAGGCGAGGCCGAAAGGCGUAGUCGAUGGGAAACAGGUUAAUAUUCCUGUACUUGGUGUUACUGCGAAGGGGGGACGGAGAAGGCUAUGUUAGCCGGGCGACGGUUGUCCCGGUUUAAGCAUGUAGGCGGAACGAUUAGGUAAAUCCGGUCGUUUAUUAACGCUGAGGUGUGAUGACGAGGCACUACGGUGCUGAAGUAACAAAUGCCCUGCUUCCAGGAAAAGCCUCUAAGCAUCAGGUAACAUCAAAUCGUACCCCAAACCGACACAGGUGGUCAGGUAGAGAAUACCAAGGCGCUUGAGAGAACUCGGGUGAAGGAACUAGGCAAAAUGGUGCCGUAACUUCGGGAGAAGGCACGCUGAUAUGUAGGUGAAGCCCCUGCGGGUGGAGCUGAAAUCAGUCGAAGAUACCAGCUGGCUGCAACUGUUUAUUAAAAACACAGCACUGUGCAAACACGAAAGUGGACGUAUACGGUGUGACGCCUGCCCGGUGCCGGAAGGUUAAUUGAUGGGGUUAGCGGCAACGCGAAGCUCUUGAUCGAAGCCCCGGUAAACGGCGGCCGUAACUAUAACGGUCCUAAGGUAGCGAAAUUCCUUGUCGGGUAAGUUCCGACCUGCACGAAUGGCGUAAUGAUGGCCAGGCUGUCUCCACCCGAGACUCAGUGAAAUUGAACUCGCUGUGAAGAUGCAGUGUACCCGCGGCAAGACGGAAAGACCCCGUGAACCUUUACUAUAGCUUGACACUGAACACUGGUCCUUGAUGUGUAGGAUAGGUGGGAGGCUUUGAAGCGUGGACGCCAGUCUGCGUGGAGCCGACCUUGAAAUACCACCCUUUAAUGGCUGGUGUUCUAACGUAGACCCGUGAUCCGGGUUGCGGACAGUGUCUGGUGGGUAGUUUGACUGGGGCGGUCUCCUCCCAAAGAGUAACGGAGGAGCACGAAGGUUAGCUAAUCCUGGUCGGACAUCAGGAGGUUAGUGCAAUGGCAUAAGCUAGCUUGACUGCGAGAGUGACGGCUCGAGCAGGUGCGAAAGCAGGUCAUAGUGAUCCGGUGGUUCUGAAUGGAAGGGCCAUCGCUCAACGGAUAAAAGGUACUCCGGGGAUAACAGGCUGAUACCGCCCAAGAGUUCAUAUCGACGGCGGUGUUUGGCACCUCGAUGUCGGCUCAUCACAUCCUGGGGCUGAAGUAGGUCCCAAGGGUAUGGCUGUUCGCCAUUUAAAGUGGUACGCGAGCUGGGUUUAGAACGUCGUGAGACAGUUCGGUCCCUAUCUGCCGUGGGCGCUGGAGAAUUGAGGGGGGCUGCUCCUAGUACGAGAGGACCGGAGUGGACGCAUCACUGGUGUUCGGGUUGUCAUGCCAAUGGCACUGCCCGGUAGCUAAAUGCGGAAAAGAUAAGUGCUGAAAGCAUCUAAGCACGAAACUUGCCCCGAGAUGAGUUCUCCCUGACCCUUUAAGGGUCCUGAAGGAACGUUGAAGACUACGACGUUGAUAGGUCGGGUGUGUAAGCGCAGCGAUGCGUUGAGCUAACCGAUACUAAUGAACCGUGAGGCUUAACCUU
rnacentral:rRNA from 1 species